rnacentral:rRNA from 1 species
UACGUAGGGUGCAAGCGUUGUCCGGAAUUAUUGGGCGUAAAGAGCUCGUAGGCGGUUUGUCGCGUCGGCUGUGAAAACUCGGGGCUCAACCCCGAGCCUGCAGUCGAUACGGGCAAACUAGAGUGCUGUAGGGGAGACUGGAAUUCCUGGUGUAGCGGUGAAAUGCGCAGAUAUCAGGAGGAACACCGGUGGCGAAGGCGGGUCUCUGGGCCGAUACUGACGCUGAGGUGCGAAAGCGUGGGGAGCAAACAGG